AGAAGAAGAAGAAGAAGAAGAAGAAGAAGAAGAAGAAGAAGAAGAAAUAAACAAAUGUCAUCAGGAUAGCAUUUUAGUGCUAACAAUUAUGAUACUGUAGUAUCACAGCUAUAGAGUGUAAGGAGCAACUGGCAGAUAAAGGGCUUCUUCAGCCUGAUUUGUGCAGAGUUUCAUAGAAUAACGAACUUCAACCUGAAGAACCACUUUUACGCAGAGUUGGAUCGGCAUGUCCCCCGUCUGUUGAGCUUGUUCAGGAAGAAGGCGGCACGCAAAGGAAAAUUGUCUGAAGUUCUGGAUCAGCUCUUCACCGCCUAUGACCUCCAGGAUCAAGGUGACGUCCAUAGCCGACGUGCUGCUGUCCUCCGUGGUCUGCCUGGAUUUCUGCAUGAGGAUGACUCCAGGUUUCUGAGGCUGUGGCAUGUAGAGCAGUCUGAGGAUCCAGAAGUAGAUGACGUCGCGGUCGGACUUCUCCUGAUCAGUGCCAGGUCGACAAAUGCCACGCUCUUCUGCCCAGAGAAGAUCGCUGUCGUCAUAGAGGGGGACAAAGUUAUCGAACUCCCCACACUGGCUGAGGCAUUCAUCCAUCUUUUCGCACU